CAGCGUUCUCUGGUAGCGACCAUUUUGGUUAAUGUUGGGUGUGUUUCUGCGGUUUGUGAGGUCACCUCAUCCUAACCCGAAUCCUGAAGCAGCGAGAGAGCGGCGACUGUUCACAGGCAUCAUCUGGCUGCAAAGAAGAGAACACACUGUGUUUGAGGGAGGAGGAAGGAGGAUCAGAGUUUAAACUCCUGCCAUAAUGCAGCAGGGCACUGUGGCAUUUGAAGAUGUGGCUGUGAACUUUUCCCAGGAGGAGUGGAGUCUCCUUAGUGAGGUUCAGAGAUGCCUUUACCAUGACGUGAUGCUGGAGAACUGGGUACUUAUAUCCUCCCUGGGUUGUUGGUGUGGAUCAGAAGAUGAGGAGGCACCUUCUAAGAAGAGCAUUUCUAUACAAAGAGUGUCUCAGAAUGUCCGUCUGUCUGCCCAGGCUGGAGUGGCACGAUCUCAGCUCACUGCAGCCUCCACCUCCAGGGUUCAAGCGAUUCUCCUGCCUCAGCCUCCCGGGGAUCUCAAGGGCAUUUCCCUUUGCCCACCUCACCUUUUCAUAUUUGGUAAACUGUAUGCAUUUGCCUCCAGCCCAAGAUUAUAAAUAUGAACUGAUUAUGAUCUGCAUGUUCUCUCUUUGGGUUCAAGCAUUUCCUUACAGAAGAGCCACCGUGGAAGUCAUGGGUAAAUAUGUGUUGAAUUGGUAACUCCCUCUUGGAGAAUUUCUUGUGAAUUACACAGCAAUAGGGGAACUCAUUUAACUGGAGACAUAAUCUCAAUUUGUAAAGUGUGGCCCAUUUUCUAACAUUUUUAUUUUGCAUACCCUCCCCUCUCUUCUCGAUUGAUGAAACUAACAAAGAGGUUAAUAAAAGCCCAUCUCGUCAU
rnacentral:lncRNA from 1 species